rnacentral:rRNA from 1 species
CCUGGCUCAGAUUGAACGCUGGCGGCAUGCCUAACACAUGCAAGUCGAACGGCAGCACGGUCUAGUUUACUAGAUGGGUGGCGAGUGGCGGACGGGUGAGUAAUGCGCAGGAAUAUGCCUUAAAGUGGGGGACAACUUGGGGAAACUCAAGCUAAUACCGCGUAAUCUCUUCGGAGAAAAGCUGGGGACCUUCGGGCCUGGCGCUUUAAGAUUAGCCU